CAAUAGCGUAUAUUAACGUUGUUGCAGUUAAAAAGCUCGUAGUUGGAUUUCUGGAGGGAGCGUCGGCCCGUAUUUACGAGUGCGUGACGUCUCUGUCCAUCCUUGCGGGAAGGCACGGCAUUGAUUUGUUGUGUCGGAUCGCAUCAUUUACUGUGAAAAAAUUAGAGUGUUCAAAGCAGGCUUUCGCUUGAAUACAUUAGCAUGGAAUAAUAAGAUAGGAAUUUGGUGCUAUUUUGUUGGUUGAGCCUAAAGUAAUGAUUAAUAGGGAUAGUUGGGGGCACCUGUAUUGCGUUGUCAGAGGUGAAAUUCUUGGAUUUACGCAAGACAAACAGCUGCGAAAGCGUCUGCCAAGGAUGUUUUCAUUAA
rnacentral:rRNA from 1 species